CCUACGGGAGGCUGCAGUGGGGAAUAUUGCACAAUGGGGGAAACCCUGAUGCAGCGACGCCGCGUGAGUGAAGAAGUAAUUCGUUACGUAAAGCUCUAUCAGCAGGGAAGAAACACUGACCUUACGGUCAGCAGACGGUACCUGAGUAAGAAGCCCCGGCUAACUACGUGCCAGCAGCCGCGGUCAUACGUAGGGGGCAAGCGUUCUCCGGAGUUACUGGGUGUAAAGGGAGCGUAGACGGUGCGACAAGACUGGAGGGAAAUGCCGCAGCUUAACUGCGGAACUGCUUUGGAAACGGGCGAACUAGAGUGCGGGAGAGGUAAGCGGAAUUCCUAGUGUAGCGGUGAAAUGCGUAGAUAUUAGGAGGAACAUCGGUGGCGAAGGCGGCUUACUGGACCGUAACUGACGUUGAGGCUCGAAAGCGUGGGGAGCAAACAGGAUUAGAUACCCGUGUAGUC
rnacentral:rRNA from 1 species